UUGAACGCUGGCGGCAUGCUUUACACAUGCAAGUCGAACGGCAGCGCGGGGGCAACCCUGGCGGCGAGUGGCGAACGGGUGAGUAAUAUAUCGGAACAUAUCCGGAAGUGGGGGAUAACGUAGCGAAAGUUACGCUAAUACCGCAUAUGCCCUGAGGGGGAAAGGGGGGGAUCGCAAGACCUCUCGCUUUCGGAGUGGCCGAUAUCAGAUUAGCUAGUUGGUGAGGUAAAGGCUCACCAAGGCGACGAUCUGUAGCUGGUCUGAGAGGACGACCAGCCACACUGGGACUGAGACACGGCCCAGACUCCUACGGGAGGCAGCAGUGGGGAAUUUUGGACAAUGGGCGCAAGCCUGAUCCAGCCAUGCCGCGUGAGUGAAGAAGGCCUUCGGGUUGUAAAGCUCUUUCGGCCGGGACGAAAUCGCGCGGGGUAAUAUCCCGUGUGGAUGACGGUACCGGAAGAAGAAGCACCGGCUAACUACGU
rnacentral:rRNA from 1 species